AACCACCAUCUUAUUCCUCUCAUCUUCCCCUCUCUCCCUGUGAUACAUAGCCAUUCUACGUGAUUUUUACUCCUGGCUGCUACAGUGCCCGCUGCUUCUUCUAAAACUUGAGGUUAACACAAGUAUCAUAGCAAGAGGCACACCUCAGACAGAGGUAUAGAAAUGAUGGAACUUCAAGGCCACGGAAGCACACCUAUCAGGUAACUUUACGAAGUAUUGUUCAUCAGAUCCUGGAUAGAUGCAUACUCUUCUGAUGCAAUGAAUGAAAAUUCAGAAAAGAAGGAUUACAAAAAAGAAGAAUUCUGAUUACAAUUACCAGUGACUGAAGAUGUGGAAAGGAACUGAUUGAACACAGCACUGUGGAGCUAUGAGAUUAUGAGUAUUUGUAACUGAAGGCACUCUGGACUUUCUGAGAGUCUUAGAUUUUCUUGAAUUCUGGAUCCUGCCCCCCACCCCCACCAUCUGCCUUGAUGAUUAUGCCUGAACUCUUUACUUAUAAUGUAAUUAAAGGUGCUGGGUCCUCUGGGUUAAUUUUGAUUCCUGGUCAACUAAAUGUCCAGUUUAGUCAUAACUUUGCUUAAAACUUGGACAACUGUUCCACUCAGUUCCUAUAGGGCCUUGAUAUACCUGCCCACCCCACUGCCCAAUAAAACUUUGAAGGGCUUAUGAAAAUUCUGCAAAUUGAAGAUUGAAUUGUCUCUUUUUUGUGAGGUGUUAAUAAAUCCAUACAAAUAAUUAUCCAUACAAAUCCAUAUAAAUAGUCUCCAACAGAUUGUGUGGUUCUGAAGAGACAGUGGUGGUAAUGUAUACAAGACUCUCUCCUCUAACUCUUUAGACACUGGGUAUUCACACGGACACCAGUGAGAGUCCAGUGAGUAAAUCAUUUAUGUUCAUGAUAGCAAGGGGAUGGUUUGAAAUCCACAGAGCAAACACUAGAAACAGGAGGAAAGAGAGGGGUUUCCCACAAAUGACCUUGUUUUCGUCUUCUCAUGGACAUAAAGAUGAAGCCGAUGUCCUGGGAUAGCCAUAAAUCUGCUGGCUCUGCCGUAAACCAAACUUGCUAGGGUUCUUCUGACAAUCUCUAGUUGAGGUGUGUAUUUCUAGUUUUCUCCACUUUCCACCAAAGUCUGUCCCUUAAUUUCCAGGCAGACUCUACAUGUCAGCAGGCCACUACUGGGCUUCAUUUUCCAUGAAAUCAUGGUGGGGAUCCUGUGUUUUUCCAUAAUCUUGACAAGGAACAAAAAUGGACCCAAGAAUGUUUCACUGUGAGGGUUAUCUACAUAUUAGACAAAGUUCCAAACCUCACAACCAUUCACAGUCACAAGCUUUAAUCUUUGUUCUACCUGUACAUUCCUGACACAGAUACAGAGCUUCAGAGCUUGAAUGGAUGACUCUAACUCAUGCAAUACACCUGCAAUUGUUCUUUACAACGGAAGCAGACUGAACAACCCAGAGG